AUGGCGACCGGCGCACGGGUGAGUAACACGUAUCCAACCUGCCGAUGACUCGGGGAUAGCCUUUCGAAAGAAAGAUUAAUACCCGAUGGCAUAGUUCUUCCGCAUGGUGGAACUAUUAAAGAAUUUCGGUCAUCGAUGGGGAUGCGCUCCAUUAGGUUGUUGGCGGGGUAACGGCCCACCAAGCCUUCGAUGGAUAGGGGUUCUGAGAGGAAGGUCCCCCACAUUGGAACUGAGACACGGUCCAAACUCCUACGGGAGGCAGCAUG
rnacentral:rRNA from 1 species